rnacentral:rRNA from 1 species
AACGAACGCUGGCGGCAUGCCUAACACAUGCAAGUCGAACGAGACCUUCGGGUCUAGUGGCGCACGGGUGCGUAACGCGUGGGAAUCUGCCCUUGGGUUCGGAAUAACAGUUGGAAACGACUGCUAAUACCGGAUGAUGACGUAAGUCCAAAGAUUUAUCGCCCAAGGAUGAGCCCGCGUAGGAUUAGCUAGCUGGUGAGGUAAAGGCUCACCAAGGCGACGAUCCUUAGCUGGUCUGAGAGGAUGAUCAGCCACACUGGGACUGAGACACGGCCCAGACUCCUACGGGAGGCAGCAGUGGGGAAUAUUGGACAAUGGGCGAAAGCCUGAUCCAGCAAUGCCGCGUGAGCGAUGAAGGCCUUAGGGUUGUAAAGCUCUUUUACCCGGGAUGAUAAUGACAGUACCGGGAGAAUAAGCUCCGGCUAACUCCGUG